rnacentral:rRNA from 1 species
AUUGAACGCUGGCGGCAGGCCUAACACAUGCAAGUCGAGCGACAGCGGGAAAGUAGCUUGCUACUUUUGCCGGCGAGCGGCGGACGGGUGAGUAAUGCCUGGGGAUCUGUCCAGUCGAGGGGGAUAACUACUGGAAACGGUAGCUAAUAUCGCAUACGCCCUACGGGGGAAAGCAGGGGACCUUCGGGCCUUGCGCGCUUGGAGGAACGCGGGUGGGAUUAGCUAGGUGGUGAGGUAAUGGCUCACCAAGGCGACGAUCCCUAGCUGGUCUGAGAGGAUGAUCAGCCACACUGGAAAUGAGACACGGUCCAGACUCCUACGGGAGGCGGCAGUGGGGAAUAUUGCACAAUGGGGGAAACCCUGAUGCAGCCAUGCCGCGUGUGUGAAGAAGGCCUUCGGGUUGUAAAGCACUUUCAGCGAGGAGGAAAGGUUGGUAGCUAAUAACUGCCAGCUGUGACGUUACUCGCAGAAGAAGCACCGGCUAACUCCGUGCCAGCAGCCGCCGUAAAAC